GCGCAGCCCCCAGCGCGUCUGCGCCUAUGGAAUGUGGGGGUCGAGGCGGCAUGGCUCCGGACCGGGACCUGGCCUCGGCGACACCGAGGCCGCGGCAGGAGCCCAGGACAGGGACCCAGGCGGGGGCUCCCGGCCCCGGUGCCGUCGGAGCCCGCCGCUUCCUGCUUUGUCUCUACCUGGUGGGAUUCCUGUGGCUGAGAAUCUGCCUGCCAAUGCAGGGGACACGGGUUCGAGCCCUGGUCUGGGAGGAUCCCACAUGCCGCGGAGCAACUGGGCCCGUGAGCCACAACUACUGAGCCUGCGCAUCUGGAGCCUGUGCUCCGCAACAAGAGAGGCCACGACAGUGAGAGGCCCACGCACCGCGAUGAAGAGGCCCCCGUUCGCCGCAACUAGAGAAAGCCCUCGCACAGAAACGAACACCCAAC